rnacentral:misc_RNA from 1 species
CCACCUCUUCUCUUUACAUAACACCUACAUACAUAUAGAUCCAUCCAUAGAUGUACCAUCUCUCAUAUCGAUGAUUGUCAUAAAAACGCUGCUUAGUAUUGGAUUUGCAGACAUUAUAUAACCGAUAUUUGUGUUUGUGUGUGUGUAUAAAGAUUGUAUCUUUCUUCAAUUCUAUCAAGAAAAAUUCUUUAGUUGUGGCUACUACAAGGAGUAGGCAGC